CGGACGGGUGAGUAACGCGUGGAGAACCUGCCGUAUACUGGGGGAUAACACUUAGAAAUAGGUGCUAAUACCGCAUAAGCGCACAGCUUCGCAUGAAGCAGAGUGAAAAACUCCGGUGGUAUACGAUGGAUCCGCGUCUGAUUAGCUGGUUGGCGGGGUAAAGGCCCACCAAGGCGACGAUCAGUAGCCGGCCUGAGAGGGUGAACGGCCACAUUGGGACUGAGACACGGCCCAAACUCCUACGGAAGGCAGCAG
rnacentral:rRNA from 1 species